GUGAAACCUGAAGUUCUGUCAUUGUUCAAGUUUUAAAUAUUAAACAUACCUGUCCUUGGCGUACCUGUCCUCAGCAGGCCUCUCCGUGUGCCCGGCGGGGGAGCUCAUGAUGUCACAGUGAUGUCUCUGACCAGCAUGUGUUCAGCUGCAUUUCACAGCAGAGGCUCCCUCUUAUUGGUCGACGCUCACCUGCUCUGUGCAGACAGGUGAGGCAGCAGGUCAGCUUCACUCUCACUUUAUUAAUAUUAACAAAUGAGCAGCUGAGGCUAUUUAAAGCAGGAGGAAGUGCUGGGCGUCCUCACGGUCCUGCUGUCCGUUUCUUUAACCUCUGGUUAUUAUUUAUUAUAAAAGUCCAGCUGCACAAACACAAACAAUUAAUGUUAGAGAAACAUUUUAAUGCCCAGAGGAAGAAUUUAAACCGAGUUUAAGAUGUGCAUUAAUUGUAAGCACUGUCUCUCAUUUGUUUUGGCUGACUUAUUCAUUGAUUUUAUCUCAUGUACUCCAACACAUGGCAGAGGAAGAUUUGUAUGAAACCAGUGACAAAUUUCUAUGUGAGUGAACAAUACAGAUGUCUAUUUAUAAAAUGUCAAAAAUUUGGCUUGAAAUCUGUUUACUGAGGUUUUAUUUGUUCAGACAAAAAAAAAAAAAGAAUUUUGACCCAAAGUAAAAAUGGUAAUUUUUUCUCAGACUUAAAAAAACUCUUUAACUGAAGUCAAAACAUUUCAUGUAGUUUCUUAUAAUUUACUUUCGCUCCUCUUCUUAUUUUUUUUAUGUUUUUUUUUACAUUUAUGAUAGAACAGCUGUAGAGUGACAGGAAAGGGAGGAGGGGGAGUAUGGAGAUGACACGCAGCAACGGGCGCUCGCAUAAUAUAUACACUGAUUAAAGAUUUAUGCCAUAUUGCCCACCCCUGCAACAACGUAAAACAAUAUAACGCUUUAAACCAAGGUGAACUGUUCCUUUAAUUCUUUACAUAAACACAAUUAAUCACCUGCUACAGAAAAACACAACAGACCCUUCAGCAGGAGUCGAGGUGAGUCAAGGUGACCUCUGAUCUCCUGUAACUUUACAUCAUCUGGAAAAAAGAAAUGAAUCAACAGGAAGUUCCAAACACAAAACUUUAAUGAUUGUCGUUCACAGAUUCAACAGUUCACGUCAGCUGAUUUUAUCUAAUACUGUUUGUGUUUCGUUGUUAAAUUUGUUUUUAUCAACAGUUUAAAACAGGUCUGAAAAGAGGUGAUCAUUGAUGUCACAAUGCUGCAGGUAACCAGCAGGUGGCAGUCACCUGACAGGAACUGUUGUAAUGUACCUUUAUGAAGGGAAACAGGUUGAUACAAACACAACAGGUGUUGAUGUCUGAUGUGACAUGAUGAGGUGUUUGGGGUCAAAGGUCAGCAGGAUGUGUUUAAAGGGGACCUAUUGUGCUCAUUUACAGGUUCAUACUCAUAUUUUAGGCUUCUUCUCUUCUAGAAGACGAUUACAUGUUUAAAUGUUUGAAAACACUUUACUGUCCUCAAACUGUCUGUGCUGGAACACCUGCAUUCACCCUCUGAUUGAGACGCUCUGUUUUAGCUAGGGCUGGGUGAUAAAACGAUCUUGAAGCGGGAUUGCAAUAAAACGUGUGUCAAUGACGACAAUAAACUAUAAUCAAUCUGCAGUUUUUGGGAUGAGCGUCAUUGUACACGCCCACUUUUCACUGCAAAGUUUGUGCUGAGGUGAGGAGGAACUGAAAGAAGCGUGGAUGUCACAAAAAGAGGGGAAAAGUGGGAGUGGAAGU